rnacentral:lncRNA from 1 species
GGCCGCGGCGGCGCGGGGCAGGGGUAUGGAGAGCUAACCCGGCCCGUUCGGCUUUUUCUUUCGUUUUCUUUCGUUUCGUUUCGUUUCUCUCGCCGGUAACGGGCGGGCAGCGGCCGAACGGAGCCGCCACGCCACCGUGCCGGCGGGUAACGCACCGAGCGAGUGGGCCGCUGUCCGCCGAGCCGCUCCACGCCGAGAGUUCCCCCGGGCCCGGAGCUGCGCCUCGGCCCCACCGAACGCACCGGACUCGGAUCGGCGCCGAGGCGAGGCGGCGGGGAGCCGGGCGCACGGCGGGCAGCGCCCGGUGAAGGAUGGCCCUUUCCCAGGGGCUCGGCCCUGAUUUAUGUGAGAACCGCAGCGCUCCGGGGACGCCCCCGCACGGCGGGGCCGCUCGCGGGCCCUGGGACAGCGCCCGGCGGACGGUACCGGCGAUGCCCCGCCGCUCCCGG